AACGAACGCUGGCGGCAUGCCUAACACAUGCAAGUCGAACGAGACCUUCGGGUCUAGUGGCGCACGGGUGCGUAACGCGUGGGAAUCUACCCUUGGGUUCGGAAUAACAGUUAGAAAUGACUGCUAAUACCGGAUGAUGACGUAAGUCCAAAGAUUUAUCGCCCAAGGAUGAGCCCGCGUAAGAUUAGCUUGUUGGUGGGGUAAUGGCCUACCAAGGCGACGAUCUUUAGCUGGUCUGAGAGGAUGAUCAGCCACACUGGGACUGAGACACGGCCCAGACUACUACGGGAGGCAGCUGUGGGGAAUAUUGGACAAUGGGCGAAAGCCUGAUCCAGCAAUGCCGCGUGAGUGAUGAAGGCCUUAGGGUUGUAAAGCUCUUUUACCAGGGAUGAUAAUGACAGUACCUGGAGAAUAAGCUCCGGCUAACUCCGUGCCAGCCGCCGCGGUAA
rnacentral:rRNA from 1 species